CCUUAGUAACGGCGAGUGAAGCGGCAACAGCUCAAAUUUGAAAUCUGGCUCUUUCAGGGUCCGAGUUGUAAUUUGUAGAGGGUGCUUCGGGCAAGGCGGCGGCCUAAGUUCCUUGGAACAGGGCGUCAUAGAGGGUGAGAAUCCCGUAUGCGGCCGGCGACCGAGUCCAUGUGAAGCCCCUUCGACGAGUCGAGUUGUUUGGGAAUGCAGCUCUAAAUGGGUGGUAAAUUUCAUCUAAAGCUAAAUACCGGCCAGAGACCGAUAGCGCACAAGUAGAGUGAUCGAAAGAUGAAAAGCACUUUGGAAAGAGAGUUAAAAAGUACGUGAAAUUGUUGAAAGGGAAGCGCUUGCAACCAGACCUGUGUUCGGGUGAUCAACCGUCGUUCUCGGCGGUGCACUCGCCCGUUGCAGGCCAGCAUCGGUUCGGGCGGUCGGAUAAAGGCCUUGGGAAUGUAGCUUCCUUCGGGGAGUCUUAUAGCCCAGGGUGCAAUGCGGCCAGCCUGGACCGAGGACCGCGCUUCGGCUAGGAUGCUGGCGUAAUGGUUGUAAGCGGCCC
rnacentral:rRNA from 1 species